UGGGGAAUUUUGGACAAUGGGCGAAAGCCUGAUCCAGCCAUGCCGCGUGAGUGAAGAAGGCCUUCGGGUUGUAAAGCUCUUUUAGUCGGAAAGAAAGAGUUGCAAUGAAUAAUUGUGAUUUAUGACGGUACCGACAGAAAAAGCACCGGCUAACUACGUGGCAGCAGCUGCGGCAAUACGUAGGGUGCGAGCGUUAAUCGGAAUUACUGGGCGUAAAGGGUGCGAAGGCGGUCUGGCAAGUCAGAUGUGAAAGCCACGGGCUUAACCUGGGAAUUGCGUUUGAAACUACAAGACUAGAGUGCAGCAGAGGGGAGUGGAAUUCCAUGUGUAGCAGUGAAAUGCGUAGAUAUGUGGAAGAACACCGAUGGCGAAGGCAGCUCCCUGGGUUGACACUGACGCUCAUGCACGAAAGCGUGGGGAGCAAACA
rnacentral:rRNA from 1 species